UUUACUGAAACACCAUGAAUUUCGAUCAUACAUUCCAAACAUGGGUUGCUAAAAAUCCGCUGUUUAUACCACGAAGAAAAGGCAUUGAAAUUGAAGCUCAAAAUUGGCUCAGGUACGCGCCGAAAAGACUGAAAAGGAAAACAUUAACUUUACCUGCUUCAGAUAGAAGACCAUAGCAAAAAUAAGUUUAGUUUGAUACCAUGCGUAAUCGCUUUUUGUUUGUUUUGAAAUAUAGGUAGGUAUAUGUUAUGGGUUCA